ensembl:snRNA U6 U6 spliceosomal RNA
GUGCUCUCUUCAGCAGUACAUACACUAAAAUGGGAAUGAUACAGAGACAUUAGCAUGGCCCCUGCACAAGGAUGACACCCAAACUUGUGAAGCGUUCCAUAUUUUU